GACGAACGCUGGCGGCGUGCUUAACACAUGCAAGUCGAGCGGAGCAGCGAACGGGUGAGUAACGCGUGAGUAACUGCCCCCCUCUCUGGGAUAAAAGUUGGAAACGGCUGCUAAUCCCGGAUAGUGGGGGAUGACUCGCGUCCUAUCAGCUUGUUGGUGGGGUAGGGGCCUACCAAGGCGACGACGGGUCGCCGGCCUGGGAGGGCGACCGGCCACAUUGGGCUGAGGUACGGCCCAAACUCCUACGGGGGGCAGCAGUGGGGAAUAUUGCACAAUGGGGGAAAGCAUGAUGCGGAAACGCCGCGUGCGUGAUGACGGCCUUCGGGUUGUAAACCGAUUUCAGCCAUGACGCGGUAGUGGCAGAAGAAGCACCGGCUAACUACGUGCCAGCAGCCGCGGUAAUAC
rnacentral:rRNA from 1 species